rnacentral:misc_RNA from 1 species
CAGGCUGUUGUGUCUUGCAUAUCUGAUUGGAACUUGGAGAGCAGGCUAUUUACCCUUACCCUUGAUCAACCCUUUUCAAAUGAAAACAUAAUUGUAAAUCUCAGAGGCCUGUUGUCUGUCAAGAACCCACUUUUGUUCAAUGGUCAAUUAUUGAAAGGGAAUUGCUAUGCUCGUGUUUUAAAUCGUCUUGCACAAGAUGCACUUGGAGCAAUGGGGGAAGUUAUCAGGAGAAUCCGUGAAAGUGUGAAGUAUGUGAAAACCUCAGAAACGCAUGAUGAGAAGUUUGCUGAGCUGAGGCAACGACUUCAAGUCCCUAGUACAAAAGAGCUCAUCAUUGAUGAUCAAACCAAAUGGAACACUACUUACCAAAUGCUGGUGGCUGCCUGUGAAUUAAAGGAAGUCUUUGCUUGCUUGGACACCUCUGACCCUGUUUACAAGAUAAAUCCAUCAAUGGAUGAUUGGAAGCAGGUGGA